GCCCAAGAGAUCGGGAUAACACCUGGAAACAGAUGCUAAUACCGGAUAACAACAGAUGAUGCCUAUCAACUGUUUAAAAGAUGGUUCUGCUAUCACUCUUGGAUGGACCUGCGGUGCAUUAGCUAGUUGGUAGGGUAACGGCCUGCCAAGGCGAUGAUGCAUAGCCGAGUUGAGAGACUGAUCGGCCACAUUGGGACUGAGACACGGUCCAAACUCCUACGGGAGGCAGCAGGU
rnacentral:rRNA from 1 species